GGGACACGUGGUAUCCUGUCUGAAUAUGGGGGGACCAUCCUCCAAGGCUAAAUACUCCUGACUGACCGAUAGUGAACCAGUACCGUGAGGGAAAGGCGAAAAGAACCCCGGCGAGGGGAGUGAAAAAGAACCUGAAACCGUGUACGUACAAGCAGUGGGAGCACCUUCGGGUGUGACUGCGUACCUUUUGUAUAAUGGGUCAGCGACUUAUAUUCUGUAGCAAGGUUAACCGUAUAGGGGAGCCGCAGGGAAACCGAGUCUUAACUGGGCGUUAAGUUGCAGGGUAUAGACCCGAAACCCGGUGAUCUAGCCAUGGGCAGGUUGAAGGUUGGGUAACACUAACUGGAGGACCGAACCGACUAAUGUUGAAAAAUUAGCGGAUGACUUGUGGCUGGGGGUGAAAGGCCAAUCAAACCGGGAGAUAGCUGGUUCUCCCCGAAAGCUAUUUAGGUAGCGCCUCGUGAACUCAUCUUCGGGGGUAGAGCACUGUUUCGGCUAGGGGGUCAUCCCGACUUACCAACCCGAUGCAAACUACGAAUACCGAAGAAUGUUAUCACGGGAGACACACGGCGGGUGCUAACGUCCGUCGU
rnacentral:rRNA from 1 species